rnacentral:rRNA from 1 species
AAAUUGAAGAGUUUGAUCAUGGCUCAGAUUGAACGCUGGCGGCAGGCCUAACACAUGCAAGUCGAACGGUAACAGGAAGAAGCUUGCUUCUUUGCUGACGAGUGGCGGACGGGUGAGUAAUGUCUGGGAAACUGCCUGAUGGAGGGGGAUAACUACUGGAAACGGUAGCUAAUACCGCAUAACGUCGCAAGACCAAAGAGGGGGACCUUCGGGCCUCUUGCCAUCGGAUGUGCCCAGAUGGGAUUAGCUAGUAGGUGGGGUAACGGCUCACCUAGGCGACGAUCCCUAGCUGGUCUGAGAGGAUGACCAGCCACACUGGAACUGAGACACGGUCCAGACUCCUACGGGAGGCAGCAGUGGGGAAUAUUGCACAAUGGGCGCAAGCCUGAUGCAGCCAUGCCGCGUGUAUGAAGAAGGCCUUCGGGUUGUAAAGUACUUUCAGCGGGGAGGAAGGGAGUGAAGUUAAUACCUUUGCUCAUUGACGUUACCCGCAGAAGAAGCACCGGCUAACUCCGUGCCAGCAGCCGCGGUAAUACGGAGGGUGCAAGCGUUAAUCGGAAUUACUGGGCGUAAAGCGCACGCAGGCGGUUUGUUAAGUCAGAUGUGAAAUCCCCGGGCUCAACCUGGGAACUGCAUCUGAUACUGGCAAGCUUGAGUCUCGUAGAGGGGGGUAGAAUUCCAGGUGUAGCGGUGAAAUGCGUAGAGAUCUGGAGGAAUACCGGUGGCGAAGGCGGCCCCCUGGACGAAGACUGACGCUCAGGUGCGAAAGCGUGGGGAGCAAACAGGAUUAGAUACCCUGGUAGUCCACGCCGUAAACGAUGUCGACUUGGAGGUUGUGCCCUUGAGGCGUGGCUUCCGGAGCUAACGCGUUAAGUCGACCGCCUGGGGAGUACGGCCGCAAGGUUAAAACUCAAAUGAAUUGACGGGGGCCCGCACAAGCGGUGGAGCAUGUGGUUUAAUUCGAUGCAACGCGAAGAACCUUACCUGGUCUUGACAUCCACGGAAGUUUUCAGAGAUGAGAAUGUGCCUUCGGGAACCGUGAGACAGGUGCUGCAUGGCUGUCGUCAGCUCGUGUUGUGAAAUGUUGGGUUAAGUCCCGCAACGAGCGCAACCCUUAUCCUUUGUUGCCAGCGGUCCGGCCGGGAACUCAAAGGAGACUGCCAGUGAUAAACUGGAGGAAGGUGGGGAUGACGUCAAGUCAUCAUGGCCCUUACGACCAGGGCUACACACGUGCUACAAUGGCGCAUACAAAGAGAAGCGACCUCGCGAGAGCAAGCGGACCUCAUAAAGUGCGUCGUAGUCCGGAUUGGAGUCUGCAACUCGACUCCAUGAAGUCGGAAUCGCUAGUAAUCGUGGAUCAGAAUGCCACGGUGAAUACGUUCCCGGGCCUUGUACACACCGCCCGUCACACCAUGGGAGUGGGUUGCAAAAGAAGUAGGUAGCUUAACCUUCGGGAGGGCGCUUACCACUUUGUGAUUCAUGACUGGGGUGAAGUCGUAACAAGGUAACCGUAGGGGAACCUGCGGUUGGAUCACCUCCUUACCUUAAAGAAGC